GGAACUUCAGAGGAGGACACAGUACUGGGCCCUAGGAGGGAGAGAUUGAAAAAUCUCCUUUCUCCAAGCCCAGUUUAGCAAUGGGACAUUUCACACAGAUACAUUUGCUCUGGUUGUUUGGGAGAAUCCACCAGGUGGAGCAGGAGCUGAUGAGACCCCACUGAAGCAUUGGACCUUGGAGGUUUCAGUGGGACUAUGUGGGAAGUGAGUGUACGAGCAUUUCAAGCAUUGAUGCUGCACCGGCCAAGAGGAAGCCCAGAAUUCCAGGCUGGAAAAGGGGGUUCGAGUCUGCAGGAGAGCAGGAGAUUUAUGCCAUGUGCCCAGAUGGGAAGGACAGCAAGCAAGAGUUCGGUGAAGAGAUACCCCAGACAGCUUUUCAUGCAUUGUCUACUCUUACUGGGUCAAAGCUUUGAAGACGCAUUCAAGGUUAUGGACAGAUUAGUGAUUGGAAUCCUGCCUAGAGAAUGUGCCCAUUUGGACAGAGUCUGAGAGCCCACGGGGUGUCAUUAUAAGCAGUGGAAGGAAAACCUUGCAGAUACAAAUCUGGCUGUUAUCAUGCCUCAGUCUAGCUAUUAAAAAAGAAAGAAUUGG